AAUAUUGGACAAUGGGCGCAAGCCUGAUCCAGCCAUGCCGCGUGUGUGAAGAAGGCCCUCGGGUUGUAAAGCACUUUCGGGGAGGAAGAACGCCUGGCGGUUAAUACCCGCCAGGGAAGACAUCAUUCACAGAAGAAGCACCGGCUAACUCCCUUCCAGCAGCAGCGGUAAUACGGAGGCUGCGAGCGUUAAUCGGAAUUACUGGGAGUAAAGCGCGCGUAGGUGGCUUGAUCAGCCGGUUGUGAAAGCCCCGGGCUCAACCUGGGAACGGCAUCCGGAACUGUCAGGCUAGAGUGCAGGAGAGGAAGGUAGAAUUCCCGGUGUAGCGGUGAAAUGCGUAGAGAUCGGGAGGAAUACCAGUGGCGAAGGCGGCCUUCUGGACUGACACUGACACUGAGGUGCGAAAGCGUGGGUAGCAAAC
rnacentral:rRNA from 1 species